CGCAAGACAACAGAGGGACCUGAGUAGCAAAUAGCCCAUUCGGCUUUGAAAAUGUCCCCCCCUUUUAUGCGUCGUUUCACCGUUUAAAGAAAACAAAAGGGUUUCUUCCAUUUUUAGGCAGAUUUCUGCUGCUUAUUUUUAAAAGAACUAAGUCUCCCUACCCCCUUUUCUCUUCCGUUCGGCUAGGGUCCUGAGCCCCUCGUCGCCGCCCUCGGUGGUUUGUCACACCACCAUUACAAUCAGUGGCCGACGACAAGCGAAAUAGGCUACCAAGCCUCUGUUCGUGGUGCCUUUGAAGGUCUCAAAUCCCUCAGCCGAGUGCCCGAAAAUAAAGGGACUUCCCAACCUCCCCUUUUGGGUUCAACUCCGAUGGAGAAAGAAGUCUCCGGAGACUGACCAUGGGGGUUUUCCGAUGUCAGACGAUGCGUGGAGGGCGACUGAUGGAGCAGCGUGCGAGCAGACGAAGAGGCGCGGGGCGGUGGCUAAACGUUCCUAGGGUUCUGCUGAUAUUUUUUUUGCAUUAGAUUGAUAGUUUGGGCUGUAUUUGUUAUUGGCCUGUUUAUUUUGGUUUGAAAUUUUGUUUUUUGGUUUUGAGUUAUGGGCAUCGGGCAAAUUUAAGCCCGUACACUCAGCAUUGAAAAUGUUUCACUCACUAACGAUGCACAAUGGAAGGAUUUCCAGCGUGAUCUUUGGGAGAAAAAGAAUCCCUUGUUUAUUGCCUUGAAUGAACAAGGGACUUCAUCAACCCUAAAACCAAGAAAUUAGGAUCUAAUUAAUUAAUGAUGUAAUCUAAAAAAACUCCUAAGUCCUCUCAAUUUCUUAAUAUUGGGGUCUUAUUUCAAA